CCUACGGGAGGCAGCAGUGGGGAAUAUUGCACAAUGGGGGAAACCCUGAUCCAGCGAAGCCGCGUGAGUGAGGAAGUAUUUCGGUAUGUAAAGCUCUAUCAGCAGGGAAGAAAAUGACGGUACCUGACUAAGAAGCCCCGGCUAACUACGUGCCAGCAGCCGCGGGAAUUCGUAGGGGGCAAGCGUUAUCCGGAUUUACUGGGGGUAAAGGGAGCGUAGGCGGUUAAUUAAGUCAGAAGUGAAAACCCAGGGCUCGACCUUGGGACUGCUUUUGAAACUGAGUAGCUAGAGUGGAGGAGAGGUAAGCGGAAUGCGUGGUGUAGCGGUGAAAUGCGUAGAUAUUAGGAGGAACACCAGUGGCGAAGGCGGCUUACUGGACUGUAACUGACGUUGAGGCUCGAAAGCGUGGGGAGCAAACAGGAUUAGAUACCCCGGUAGUC
rnacentral:rRNA from 1 species